rnacentral:rRNA from 1 species
UACGUAGGUGGCAAGCGUUGUCCGGAUUUAUUGGGUUUAAAGGGUGCGUAGGUGGUCUAUUAAGUCAGUGCUGAAAUAUCCCGGCUUAACCGGGAGGGUGGCAUUGAUACUGAUGGACUUGAGUAAAGUUGAGGUAGGCGGAAUUGACGGUGUAGCGGUGAAAUGCUUAGAUAUCGUCAAGAACACCUAUAGCGAAGGCAGCUUACUAAGCUUUAACUGACGCUGGGGAGCGAAAGCGUGGGGAGCGAACAGG